AGAAGCUUCCAGGAACUCCCGGGUCGGCGACCCAGCCCGAGCCGCCUGGGGCCCCAAGGGAAGCUGAACGCCCUGUGGGCUCCUGGGAUGGUUCUUCCCGUUCUUUGCGCCGCCUUCACCCAUUGAAGAGCCUGUGCCCACCCUGCCCAGUCGCUCUCGGGGCCGCGGAGGAGCUUCCGCUGCCAUCUUCGGAUCCUGUGUUCCGCACGGGGGCUCCACCAGGGCAGGGAUGGUGAAUGGGGAAAUGGAGAGAGAACCUGAAAGAGCCCCAAACUCGAGGACCUAUUGCUCCCCAAGAAUAACAUCUUCCAGAAGAACUAGACAGAAAACUAGGCGUCUGGGAACUCUGAAAUCCUUGGAGGAGUAGCAUCAUCAUGACCCUCUGUGUUCCUUUUGGCAAAGGACUUGCUCCCAUUGUUUGCUUGUUCCAUUGUCUGUCUGUUAAAUAAAUAAAACCCU
rnacentral:lncRNA from 1 species